GACGAACGCUGGCGGCAUGCUUAACACAUGCAAGUCGAACGGAAAGGCCCUGCUUGCAGGGUACUCGAGUGGCGAACGGGUGAGUAACACGUGGGUGAUCUGCCCUGCACUUCGGGAUAAGCCUGGGAAACUGGGUCUAAUACCGGAUAGGAGCCAUUUUUAGUGUGAUGGUUGGAAAGUUUUUUCGGUGUAGGAUGAGCUCGCGGCCUAUCAGCUUGUUGGUGGGGUAAUGGCCUACCAAGGCGGCGACGGGUAGCCGGCCUGAGAGGGUGGACGGCCACAUUGGGACUGAGAUACGGCCCAGACUCCUACGGGAGGCAGCAGUGGGGAAGAUUGCACAAUGGGCGCAAGCCUGAUGCAGCGACGCCGCGUGGGGGAUGACGGCCUUCGGGUUGGAAACUCCUUUCGCUAGGGACGAAGCUUUUUGUGACGGUACCUAGAUAAGAAGCACCGGCUAACUACGUG
rnacentral:rRNA from 1 species